rnacentral:rRNA from 1 species
CAGUCGCCACGGUAAUACGAAGGGUGCAAGCGUUAAUCGGAAUUACUGGGCGUAAAGCGUGCGCAGGCGGUUCGCUAAGACAGAUGUGAAAUCCCCGGGCUUAACCUGGGAACUGCAUUUAUGACUGGCGGGCUAGAGUAUGGCAGAGGGGGGUAGAAUUCCACGUGUAGCAGUGAAAUGCGUAGAGAUGUGGAGGAAUACCGAUGGCGAAGGCAGCCCCCUGGGCCAAUACUGACGCUCAUGCACGAAAGCGUGGGGAGCAAACAGGAUUAGAUACCCCCGUAGUCCCUGUCUCUUAUAC